UGUUCCUCGAAGAAUUCUGAGUAGUUCAGAGGUUUCAAAUUCACACAUGCAUAGGAAAAUAUUACUUUCUCAGCAGCAAUCUCAACAUGCAUUCCCAGCUUUUCUGCAAUAUGUGCUACCUCAAAAGGAAAAUGAUGCUUUGUCAUCAGGAAUCUCUAACAAAUAUUCGGAGCUUUUGUACAAUAUGUGCCCCCUCAGAAGGCUCCCAGUGAGGAACAAUUUACUGUUGUGAGGCUGUUCAGGCAGACAUGAAUCUAAUCUGCAAUUGAGAAUCACUUCACCCUUUCUCAUCAUUAUGGUUCCUCUUAAGUUGCAUGCUUUCCAGAAUAUCAAGUUUCACUUCCUCUGCAUGCUAGUGCGUAGACGAAGGCAUGGUAGAUGAAGAUAUUUUGGAUCCCUUUAUCAGCUCAUCAAAGUCGUUGCCUAAAUUAAUAGGCGAGGAAUCAACCUCCGUAACUUGUUGCACAUCAAUAUCUCCGAGUUGCUUAAUCCAGUCCCUGGUGGCGAUAUGUUUUCUAAUCACUAGAGCCAACUCAUU